GUUCUGGCUUUAAGGAUAGAAGAAAGGGUUUAUGAGUCACUGAGGCCAGACAAGUCCCAGGGGUGUCCUUGAUGGCAGGGGCUUAAGAGGCCAAUGAGUGAGGCUGUGAAGGUAAAGCCUGGAUUGCCUCAGAGAUCCUAAGAUGUCAGAGAUGCCAGAACCCUGGGAUACCUGCUGGGGAAAGCUGCUAACAGGAAGAGGAACCAGCCUAAGAGAAAAAACUGCUGCAGUCCACAAAGCAGAUAGGAGCUGGAGCUCUGAAGAGAGUUUUGACAUCUGUCAUGGAGAUGAAGAGUUUGAAGUCUGCCCAGCUGGUUUUUGGUCUCGCUUUAGUCCAGUGUUUCCUCACCAUGCUUCCUUCCCUGCGUUUUGAAAUGCCCCUGGAUGCUUAUGCCAAAGCACCGAGAGCAAAGUGCUGAAGGGAUUUCCGCAAACCCUUGUUCAGAAGACAUCAGCAGGUAGGGGCAGCCCGAGUGUUCACCCAUCUGUCUAUCAACUAGAGUGGCAUAGAGCUCCCCAAAGAAAAUAAAUGUUGUCUCGUGGUGCAGAGCGUGAGAAUCUACGUGCAAAUGCUCCACAUGGGAAAUUUUGAGACUCUCCAGUAUGUGCAUUCUCAGGUUUCGAAGAUGGUGGUAUAAGCGACAGCAAGGAUAAAGGACGGCUCACCACCUUCCCCCACACAAAGGGACAGUUUCCGUUUCUAUUGGCUACACUGCGCUUCCCAGUAGGAGGUACACCAUGUGUCGUCUGUGUGAGGCUGCAAGAAUCGUCUCUCUUUGGCCUUGUUCACUGAGGAAGAAGGCCUGCGCUGCUCACCAAACAAUUCCACCAGUCAAUGAAGUUACUCAGGCCAAGGGCCUAGCAGGUGGAAGGUGCCUGGGAGUCCCUCCUCUUCCUCCAAGUGAGACACACGUGUCCCCAAAUACAAGAUAGUGACCUGAGAGCCAUGUCCUCUGUGCUCUCACAGACACGAAUAUGGGGCAGUGUGACUCCCUUUACCCGUUUGCUGGACUCAGUAUUGUCAGCCGUGUAGAGAAAAGUCUAAGAGCCUAGAAUGUUAGAUAUACUGACUUUCUGCAUUCCCCCAUUAUUUCCAUCACCCAGGGCUCUGGCAAAAUGUCUAGCCACCCCAAGCACUGGCACUUCUGGGUUCCAUCCCCCCUUCCCCACCACCCAAGCAUGUGCCAUCAAGCAUUCAAGCAACUUACACAGCCACCCAGGGCCCUCAAGCCCUGCGUGCAUCAUGGUCAUGUGAUGUACGCAUGCUGCAGCUACUUAAGCCCUUGUACGCACACACUAGGCAACCUUUAAGAGCAGAACAUGCUCGCUCAAUGCUCUCUUCCUGCACCAACUUCCUCAGGCCUGCGCACGUGUC